GAUGAAGAACGUAGCGAAAUGCGAUACUUGGUGUGAAUUGCAGAAUCCCGUGAACCAUCGAGUCUUUGAACGCAAGUUGCGCCCGAAGCCAUUAGGCCGAGGGCACGCCUGCCUGGGUGUCACACGUCGUUGCCCCCCCAUCUACUCCUUCGGGAUUGCGGGGGGCGGAUGGUGGCCUCCCGUGCGCCUCGUCGCGCGGUUGGCAUAAAUGCCAAGUCCUCGGCGACGCACGCCACGACAAUCGGUGGUUGCGAAACCUCGGUUGCCCGUCGUGUGCGGUCGUCGCGCAUCGAGGGCUCGAAAAAAUUGCCGGGCUCCGGCUCGGCUUUCAACGCGACCCCAGGUCAGGCGGGGUUACCCGCUGAAUUUAAGCAUAUCAAUAAGCGGAGGA
rnacentral:misc_RNA from 1 species